UCACGUUCACCGUAAUAGCUGAAUAUGGAGCUCAUCUGUUUUCCCCAUUCGGAGACCAGGUCGAACGGGUGGUCGGAUAGGUGCUCACACUUCCUGUGUACCCUGGCAUACAUUGUUUUUGAAGACUCCCACACAGUCUUUUUCGCGGGAAGGUUCAGAGGCAGGGACUGGAACAGGAAAAUGUCUCUGGUUAUCUUAAAUGCUGCGACGAGCACUGUGUCGUCCGUUGACUUCGAUGAACCACAUUCUAACAUGUCAUUCCAACAGGUAUGAGGACGGCGACAUUUUCCUUGGAGUUGAUGAUCCUGGGUAACGUCCCGCAUGCCGCACACAUCAUCACCCGAUUGGGACCAGGAAUCGCCAGCGUUGGCUGGCUGUUCGACAUCGGACCAGUGAUCGCCAGUCAUUUCGUCGUCGGUGGUGGCAGGUAGUUCUCCGGAACCCAAGUCCUUCUACGACUUCCAGAAGGUUGCAACAGCCGGUCCAACGUGUCUGAAGGAUCAUCGUCGUCAUCAUUGCAUCAGUGUACAACUCGGUUUCAUAAACUAAGCACUCAAGACAUCGAAGACAUGAGGAACACGAGCGGACUCUGGAUGGAGAAGAAAGAGCGAGUUGGAAAAGACGGGAAACGUCUUCUUUCGCCAGACAUCGUGUUCGGUCAAUCCGAGUAAAAAAA